rnacentral:rRNA from 1 species
AGAUGGCGACCGGCGCACGGGUGAGUAACACGUAUCCAACCUGCCGAUGACUCGGGGAUAGCCUUUCGAAAGAAAGAUUAAUACCCGAUGGCAUAGUUCUUCCGCAUGGUGGAACUAUUAAAGAAUUUCGGUCAUCGAUGGGGAUGCGUUCCAUUAGGUUGUUGGCGGGGUAACGGCCCGCCAAGCCUUCGAUGGAUAGGGGUUCUGAGAGGAAGGUCCCCCACAUUGGAACUGAGACACGGUCCUAACUCCUACGGGAGGCAGCAUG